rnacentral:rRNA from 1 species
AAUCAACGCUGGCGGCGUGCCUCAGACAUGCAAGUCGAACGAUUAAGACUCCCUUCGGGGAGUGUAUAAAGUGGCGCACGGGUGAGUAACACGUAAGUAAUCUACCUUCGAGUGGGGAAU